CGAACCAUCUAGUAGCUGGUUCCCUCCGAAGUUUCCCUCAGGAUAGCUGGUGCUCGGAGAAUCGCUCUCAUCCGGUAAAGCGAAUGAUUAGAGGCCUUGGGGCCGAAACGACCUCAACCUAUUCUCAAACUUUAAAUGGGUGAGAAGUCCGGCUUGCUCGACUGAAGCCCGGACGGCAAGGACGUGAGUACCAAGUGGGCCACUUUUGGUAAGCAGAACUGGCGAUGCGGGAUGAACCGAACGCCGGGUUAAGGCGCCCGAUGCGGGACGCUCAGAAGACCCCAUGAAAGGUGUUGGUUGCUAUAGACAGCAGGACGGUGGCCAUGGAAGUCGGAAUCCGCUAAGGAGUGUGUAACAACUCACCUGCCGAAGCAACUAGCCCUGAAAAUGGAUGGCGCUUUAGCGUCGAGCCCAUACCCGGCCCCCACGGCAAGGCUUUUAGAAUUAGGCCG
rnacentral:rRNA from 1 species